AUUGAACGCUGGCGGCAUGCCUUACACAUGCAAGUCGAACGGUAACGGGCCUUGGGGUUCCGCCGAGGGGCGACGGGUGGAGUAAUACAUGGGAACGUGCCGGAACGUGGGGGUUAACGGGGGGAAAGCUUUGUUAAAACCCCAUACGACCUCAGAAGGAAAGCAGGGGACCGCAAGGCCUUGUGGGGCCGGGCGGGCGGAUGGCAGAUUAGGUAGUUGGUGGGAUAAAAGCUUACCAAGCCGACGAUCUGUAGCUGGUCUGAGAGGAUGAUCAGCCACACUGGAACUGAGACACGGCCCAGACUCCUACGGGAGGCAGCAGUGGGGAAUUUUGGACAAUGGGCGCAAGCCUGAUCCAGCCAUGCCGCGUGCAGGAUGAAGGCCUUCGGGUUGUAAACUGCUUUUGUACGGAACGAAAAGCCUUCUUUUAAUACAGGAGGGUCAUGACGGUACCGUAAGAAUAAGCACCGGCUAACUACGUG
rnacentral:rRNA from 1 species